rnacentral:rRNA from 1 species
ACGGGUGAGUAUCGCGUAGGGAUUUAUCGUUGGGUGGGGGAUAACCUUGGGAAACUGGGGCUAAUACCGCAUGACGCCUGUGGGCCAAAGCAGCAAUGCGCCUGAUGAGGAGCCUGCGUCCGAUUAGCUUGUUGGUGGGGUAAAGGCUUACCAAGGCGACGAUCGGUAGCUGGUCUGAGAGGAUGAUCAGCCACACUGGGACUGAGACACGGCCCAGACUCCUACGGGAGGCAGCAGUGGGGAAUAUUGGACAAUGGGCGCAAGCCUGAUCCAGCAAUGCCGCGUGGAUGAAGAAGGUUUUCGGAUUGUAAAGUCCUUUCGGCGGGGACGAUGAUGACGGUACCCGCAGAAGAAGCCCCGGCUAACUUCGUGCCAGCAGCCGCGGUAAUACGAAGGGGGCUAGCGUUGCUCGGAAUGACUGGGCGUAAAGGGCGCGUAGGCGGACAGUUUAGUCAGACGUGAAAUUCCUGGGCUCAACCUGGGGGCUGCGUUUGAUACGGAUUGUCUAGAGUUUGGAAGAGGGUCGUGGAAUUCCCAGUGUAGAGGUGAAAUUCGUAGA